rnacentral:rRNA from 1 species
GACGAACGCUGGCGGCGUGCUCAACACAUGCAAGUCGAGCGAUGAAACACCUUCGGGUGCGGAUUAGCGGCGAACGGGUGAGGAACACGUGAGGAAUCUGCCUUCCACUCUGGGAUAACUCCGGGAAACCGGGGCUAAUACCGGAUACUUUCAACUGGCGGCAUCGCCGGUUGAAGAAAGUUUUUCGGUGGAAGAUGACCUCGCGGCCUAUCAGCUUGUUGGUGAGGUAAAGGCUCACCAAGGCGACGACGGGUAGCCGGCCUGAGAGGGCGACCGGCCACACUGGGACUGAGACACGGCCCAGACUCCUACGGGAGGCAGCAGUGGGGAAUAUUGGGCAAUGGAGGAAACUCUGACCCAGCGACGCCGCGUGAGGGAUGAAGGCCUUCGGGUUGUAAACCUCUUUCAGCAGGGAAUAAGCGAAAGUGAAGGUACCUGCAGAAGAAGCACCGGCUAACUAUGUGCCAGCCGCCGCGGUAA